rnacentral:rRNA from 1 species
CGAUACGGGACUCAUCCGAGGCCCCGUAAUCGGAAUGAGUACACUCUAAACCCUUUAACGAGGAUCAAUUGGAGGGCAAGUCUGGUGCCAGCAGCCGCGGUAACACCAGCUCCAAUAGCGUAUAUUAAAGUUGUUGCGGUUAAAAAGCUCGUAGUCGAAUUUGUGUCCCGCGCCGCCGGUUCAUCGCUCGCGGUGUUAACUGGCGUGUCCGCGGGACGUCCUGCCGGUGGACUUAGCUCUCGGGCGGUCCAAUCUCAAUCCCACCGCGGUGCUCUUUACUGAGUGUCGAGGUGGGCCGGCACGUUUACUUUGAACAAAUUAGAGUGCUUAAAGCAGGCUAAAAUAUCGCCUGAAUACUGUGUGCAUGGAAUAAUGGAAUAGGACCUCGGUUCUAUUUUGUUGGUUUUCGGAACCCCGAGGUAAUGAUUAAUAGGAACGGAUGGGGGCAUUCGUAUUGCGACGUUAGAGGUGAAAUUCUUGGAUCGUCGCAAGACGGACAGAAGCGAAAGCAUUUGCCAAAAACGUUUUCAUUGAUCAAGAACGAAAGUUAGAGGUUCGAAGGCGAUCAGAUACCGCCCUAGUUCUAACCAUAAACGAUGCCAGCUAGCGAUCCGCCGACGUUCCUCCGAUGACUCGGCGGGCAGCUUCCGGGAAACCAAAGCUUUUGGGAUCCGGGGGAAGUAUGGUUGCAAAGCUGAAACUUAAAGGAAUUGACGGAAGGGCACCACCAGGAGUGGAGCCUGCGGCUUAAUUUGACUCAACACGGGAACCUCACCAGGCCCGGACACGGAAGGAUUGACAGAUGAGAG